CAGAAACCCUAAGUUCAUUCAUCCUAAAUUCCCCUUCAUCAAUCAUCCAUCCCUUAAAUCUCAUUCAUCCUAUAACAUUCAUUCAUUCAAAGUUUGUUCAUCCAAUUUUCAUCUAAAGAUUCAUUCAUCCAACCAUAAGUCAACUUAUCAUCCAAUUGACAAUUCGUGCAAUUGACCUAAUUCAUCCAAGCUUCAUCCUAAAAACUAAAGAAAAUUGGAAGUCGCCACCUUCCAAGUCAUGGUAGCGACCCCCUUGCACGAAUUCCACUACAAUGGUUGCAUCACUAACUUGUUUAUAACAAGCUUUGCUAUUUUAGAAAGUAGACUUACAAGCGCUUGUCCUCCAACAAAAUUCAAUGCAAAACAACAAUUAAGCUAAGAGAAAUCUUGCCUCAAAGUUGCCUGACUUUCUCGGCCUAGUCAGAGCACCCCUGGCCACAAAAACCCUUGCCCUUGCUCCAUUCCAGUUGUGCAAUGCAUAUGCUUUAGCAUUCCAGAAACUAGAAUUGAAGCCGCAUCACCUCCAACAAUUUUUUCUUGAAAAUCUUGAGUGAAUUCCAAGAUAUGACCUUCCAAAGUAGCUUGAGUUGGCGGAGUGCUACAUCUUCACCACGGCCGACUCCUCUUCACUCCAACCACCAUAACUUCCUUGGCCUUUACUCAAUCUAAGCGUGCAAAUAAUCCUUGCAAAGCUGACAACAAGAACCAUCUCCCACAAAAGUUUCAGCUCCAAAUUCAAUACUGUCCGCCAACACUCGCCUUCCAAAGUCGGACCUCCAGAUCUGGCCGGCAGCUGACCUCCUUGUCACUAAAACCACCACAACUUUCUUGUUUUCUCUCCAAACAAAGCGUGCCUACUGUCCCGAGGAAGCUAACGACAAGAUCUAACUAUUGGUAAAGUUUGACGUUCUAUUUCCAGAUAACUAAUACACUACAGCUGCGCAAUUGCAGCUCUAUAGAAACAAGGGUACGUGGGGAUGCAAUUUGGCAUGGCUUCGCCCCCCCAAAAAAAAAAAAAAAAAAAAAAAAAGAGAGCGAGUGUGGCCACCCCCACCCUCUUAUCCAAGUAGGAAGAGACCAAAGGGUGGCGGCCACAUCUCCACCAUCCAAAUCCACCAACCCUAAUCAAGAUCAAGGGCCCACAUUAAUCCUAUGUCCUAAAUCCGAUUUUAGUGCUGGACAUGCCCAAAAUCUCCAAUUCGAAGCGUUUUUUGACAAAACUAACUCCACCAAUGUGUUUAAAACAUAUUUAAACAUCAAGUUUGACUAUUCAUACACCCAAAUCUAAGUUCUAGAUCACUAAGAACCAACAAUUUGACAAACACAUCACAAUAAAUUUACUUCUAAUUAUUUUCUUCUCCUUUUUCUUCUUCUUCUCCUUGUCCCUCUUCAUCUUCUUCCUUCUUUCUCCUUGGCCUUUUUGUUUUUUUUUUGUUUGUUUUUUUGUUUUUUUUUUUUUUUUUCUUUUGGCUCUUUUUCUUAUCUUUCUUUCCACUCUCUUCUCCCUUGAUUUUUCUUUCCACUACUAAUCAUCAAUAAGCCACUAACAUUAAUGUCUAUAACUAACUUAUUAUAACAAAACAUAAUUAAAAUCCUCAUUUUUUUCGAUUUUUUUAGUUUAACCAACAAUGUAAACCAACUUUUGGGCUCACAUAAUUGGCGACCAUCAGGGGACGAAUCCAGCUUGUACUUGCCAAUUUUUGUCCUUUAAAGUAUUUUCACCAUGCCAGUUCAUACUAUCGCCUUGUCAUAAGAUAGAAAGGUGGAGCUCUUGCCCAAAAUUGCGCUCCCUCAUGUCUUAUAUUCUUUACACCUGCUACCUGAUGUUCGUGUGGGAAACAAUUGACCAUUCAAGGUCUCCAAUUGCACGAAGUUGUUUAAAAACACGUCCUUGACAAGAUAAGGACCCAACCAUACAGCAUCAAACUUGCUUGGAAAGUCGAUCUUUCGAGCAUCUUGUAACAAUACUAGCAUACCAUGUUGCAAGACCCGAGUCUUGUUCCAUUUAUCAAACACGACCUUGCGCCGCCUCUGGAUGGCCUCAAUGUGUUGAGCCCCUCAUCUUCUGCUCUCAUCCAACGCCUCGAGCUCGUACAACCUUGUCUUUAAAGAUUGUCUGUCAGUCAAUCUGGAAUCUACUGCAAUCCGAAGGGAUGGAACCUCAAACUCAAUUGGUAAAACUGCUUCCAGUCCAUAGACUAGAGAGAAUGGCGUAGCCUGCGUGGUGACCUUGAAUGUUGUUCUAUAUGCCCAUAAGGCGACUGACAGUUUCACAUCCCAAUCACGCUUGGAGUCUCUAACAAUUUUCUUCAAUAUAGUACCAAGUGUUUGGUUGACUCGCUCUGUCUGACCAUUGGUUUGAGGGUGAUAGGGUGUAGUCUUCUGGUGAUCAAUCUAGAAUCGCUCAGUCAUGGAUCCAAUCACCUCGUUGAGGAAAUGAGUACCUUGAUCACUCACAAGGAUCUUCGGGACUCCAAAUCUAGUAAUCACAUUCUCAAAGAGAAAAAUUGCAGCAUUCUUGGCAUCAUUUGUCCUCACAGCCUUGGCUUCAGCCCACUUAGUGAGAUAUUCAGUGGCCACUACAAUAUAUGCCAUUCCUCGAGAUGAAUGAGGAUGAAUCUCUCCCACGUAAUUGAUGCCCCACUUCUCGAAUGGCACCAAUGGUAGGGAAAUGUGAAGCGGCAACUGCAUGUGAAGGUCAUUCCUAGCAAAUCUCUGACAUGCAUCACAACGCCUCACAUAGGUAUGAGCGUCCUUGAAGAGUGUUGGCUAGUAAUAACCAGCCCUAAGAUUUUUUUGACCAGUCAAUUGGCUAGAAAAAUAUCCGCCACACGCACUGUCAUGAUAAGUCGACAAAAUGGAAGGAACCUCAUCUUCCAUCACACAACGUCUUAACACUCCAUCCAAUCCAUGUCGAUACAACCGGUUUCCUAAUACCACAAAAUGACGACUAUUGACCCGAAUCUUUUGCCUCUCAUCCUUGGAUAAAUCCACUCACAAUUGUUGAGUAGUCAAGAACUCAAUAAUCCUAGAAUACCAUGCUGGUCUAGCUGUCACCAAGAAAAGACUCUCGUCUAUCAAUCUAUCAUCAAUCGGGUGGGUCUCCAUUCCUCCAGGCAAUCUCGACAUGUGAUCUGCUUGUUUGUGUACGGAUCCAGGUUUGUAGUCCACAGUGUAAUCAAACUCUUGUAGCAACAAGACCCACCUAGCUAGCCGACCGCUCAACUCAGGUUUGUUAACCAAAUACUUGAUGGCCAUGUGAUCCACAUAAAAAACCACUUUGUUGCUCAACAGAUAAUGUCUAAACUUCUUAGUUGAGAACACCAUGGCUAGACAUUCCCUCUCAGUGGUGGAAUAAUUUUUCUCUGCAAGAUUUAAUUGCCUACUAGCGUAGGCAAUUGGAUGAUCCUUGCUCAUGCUCGGGCCUUCUACAAGUUGGCACAGAAUGCUGCCAACCGCCACCGCACUUGCAUCACAAUAGAUGUACAAAGGCAAGUCCCACCUCGGGGGCCUUAAUAUUGGAUAAGAAGACAAUUCCUUCUUUAGAACCUCGAAAGCAUCAUUACAAGCCUAAGUCCAUAUAAAUUUGGUGCCUUUCUUCUGAAGGCUAGUGAUGGGAAGGGUAAUAGUGGCGUAAUCUUCAAUCAACUCCCUAUACCAACCGGUGUGUCCUAAUACACGUUGCACUUCCUUCACACUGGUAAGAGGUGAUAAAUUCUGAAUUACCUUCACCUUUUCUGGCUCGGGCUCACGACCCCUCUUACUAACCAUAUAUCCCAACAAAAUGCCUCUAGUCAAGGCAAGAUAGGUUUUUUUCUGGAUUCAGGGCCAUUCGAGCUUUCUUGCACCUCUCUAAGCUUUCUUUCACCAAAUGAAUGUGAGAAUCUGCAUCAAAUUGGGUGCUAAAAUCAUCAAUGAAUACGGUCAUUGAUUUGUAUAACAAGUCUGAGAAGAUAGACAUCACCAGACGUUGGAAAGUAGCAGGGGCGUUACAUAAUCCAAAUGGCAUCACAUGCCACACAAACGUCCCCCAAGGUGUUGUAAAUGCAGUCUUGUGUCGAUCUUCAGGUGCAAUAGACACUUGGUUGUAUCCAAAAUAUCCAUCCAUAAAUGUGUAUAAAUCGUGACCUGCCACUUCUUCCAAGAUGCUAGUGAUAAAUGGCAAGGGAAAGUGGUCUUUUUGGGUGCAAAAAUUCAACUUCCUAUAAUCCACACACACCCUAAGUUUACCAUUCUUCUUCUUUACAAGCACCAUGGAAGAGACCCAAUCUCUGAUCUCAACAGGUUUAAUAAAACCUGCUUGGAGUAAUUUUUCCAGUUCCUCUUUCACAAUCAAUUGAAGCUGAGGAUUCAUUCUCCUCUCCUUUUGCCUGAUCGGCACUGCACCGGUCAUCAAGGAAAUUUGAUGUUCUACAAUCUCAAGAGGAAUCCCCUUUAACUCCUUGUAAGACCAUGCAAAGACCUCCCGAUACUCUCUUACCAACUCACAGUAGGCCUUGAUCUAUUCAUCCUCUAGUUGCCUUCCCAUCUUCAUUUGUCUUGGUUCUUCUCCUUCAAACUCCACUGUCACAAACUUCCAGUCUUCCUUAGCAACGUUGUCGUAUUACGUGCUUUCCUGCUCAAGAAUGUGUCGGGCGUCUGGCUGUAGAAGGUAGUAUGGAGAUUCACCGAUAGUUAAGCAGUCUAUCAGUUUUGACUACUGGAAUAUAAACGACUGCAACAAUGUACCGUAAAUCUAUACGGAUGCUCUUCGACUGCUUGUCGAAGUCCUUUUUGCCCCAGCCGGUAGGUCUCUAGACGUUACAGAGAACCCCGAACAAGCCAAACUGUUAAUCUUCAAUACCGCUUUGUAUUUACGAUCUUGUAUCCACUGACUGUCUUGUUAGAUUAACCCAAUAAAUUUCAUUCACUCUGCAUACUCAAUCCUAUAGACACCCUUUUAAUCCUUCAAUCACAGACGUGACUCGAUUUCACAAAACAGUCAAGAGUAUUCAAAUCCACUUCAUUAAAAAUUCCGAUUCACCAUUACAAUACUGACUUCAGCAACGAUUGCCUCAGUCUUCCCAAAACUCUACGAAGAAGAAAAACCCAAAUUUUAUGUCUUUCCUUCACCGACCCGAAGCAUGAAGCUCCCCUAUCUAAUCUCCUUGAUCUUCAAAAACCUCCAAUGAAAAACCAAACUAGUAACCUUGCAAAAGCUUGAAAACUAGCUCCCCUCGAUUUUCAAAAGAAAAACCCCCCCCCCCCAAAAAAAACUCUUUCUCAUAACCUUAUCCUCUGAAUUUCUUCAAUCUUCCGUCUUGGAUCCGGAAUUGGCUCUUGCCAUCAAGGCUUAGAUCCAAAAUUGGCUCUCACCGUCAGAGCUUUUUCUCCCCCCGUUUUUACCUUUAAGAGAUCGUUUAACCGAAAACAACGUUCCCUGAAACGGCACAGAGAACGGGACAGCCUGAAACAGAAUCGAAACUCGUAAUCGGGACCACAUUGAGUCGCCCGACCAAUUCAGGUCCCAUAUUGGGUAAGAUGCCCGUAAUAACCUAGAUGUUCCCGUAAUUGGGUCUGCAUUGGGUUGCCCGGCCAAUUCAGGUCUCAUAUUGGGUAAGAGGACCCGGAUUAGAUUCUCGAAAUUGGAUCCAAUUGGCUCUUCGAACCCAUCGUGUGAAUUGGUCCUUCUCUUCCUGCUGACUCCCGUUAUUGGAAUUGAAUGGAGCAUUUCAGUAUGCCCCGAAUGACUGUAACGAGGUGACUGAACCUGGCCACUCAAUAUUUAUACAGGAGUUGGUCGAUGCUCCCAAUAUUCGAGGUAAUUGAAUAUUAAUAAAAUUCCCCUUUCUUUUUAUUUUCAUUGUAUACUCGUGUUACAACACGACAUCCACCCCUCUCUAAACCUGUGCAUCCUCCUGUAUGCACCAAUUUACCCAAUUGCUGUUUGAUUCAGAAUAUAUCCUCUACGUCUUUGUCCAGUUCAUCUUCGUCACCUUCAUUAUCCAAAUCACUUUCAUCUUCUUGCUGCGGAAUCUCUAUACCUUCAUUAAGGUCUUCCAUAUUCAUCUCUGCAUGUCUUCGUUUAAAUAUGUUUACUCACUUCCCUGCAAUUGGUAUUUUUAAUUUUGUACCAUCUAACUCCCGUAAUGAGUAAGUCGCAUUAUCAUGAACAUUUGUUACCACAUAUGGUCCAAACCAACGUUUUGAGAAUUUCCGCAAAGUACUAUAUUGAUUAUCCAGACUAUUGUCAUAAACAAGUACCCAGUCACCUUCCUCGAUUGCUUUUGGUCUCAACCGAUGUUGCUUAUCGAAUCGCGCCUUGUUUUGUAACCUUGCUCUUUUUAACCUUCCCAAUGCUAUCUGGACAUCUUCCGUUCUUUGCUCCAAUUGUCGAAUCCUAAUAGCCAGAAGUUCUUCUCUUGUCAAUCAAUCUUCCGAUGGUAGCAUACUCCAAGUAAGUACCUUUUCUUCAAUCGGCAUAAUUGAUUUUUGACCUGUCAUAAGUUCUACUGGCAUAUAUCCUGUCACCGAGCUAUGUGUUGUUCGAUCACUCCAUAAUACAAAUGACAAAAGCCGUGGCCACUCUUUAACUUUCCCAUUACAAGCUUUAACCAAUGCUUUCACAAUCGGUGGAUGACCACGUUCGCUUUUUGUAUUCCCUUCUGGAUAAUAAGUAGUAGUCAGUGAUAGUUUAACUCCACAUCUUUCAAAGAACUUACGAGCUUCUUGUGCAUUUAAUUCUCCACGAUCUGCAGUGAUUUUUCCUACGCACCCAUAACGGCAAAUGACAUCUUCAAGCAAAAACCUACAAAUCCCCUCUGUAGAUUUUGUCCUCAAUGCUCUUCCUUCUACUUGAUUUGAUAAAUCUUCAUGAGCUAAAACUAAAUAUCUCAUCUGUCAUAACCCAACCGACAUAAUAACCAAAUCAACAACCCAUUUAAAAUGAAUAGUCAGAGGAUACGUAGGAUGAAGACCAUCUCGAUGUCGGAUAUUAGAAUACGAUUGACAGAUUUCACAUGACUCUACAAAUGAGAGCACAUCUCGAUACAUAUUUUUCCACCAAUAUCGUUCCUUGAGUUUAGCAAAAGUAGCCCAGAUUCCUCUAUGCCCUGCCCAUAAACUAUCAUGAAACUCCUUUAAUAAUUUUAGUUUUUCUUCCCUUUUGCCUAUCACUCGUUGUGGCAUGUCAAUUCCUUUCUUUGGUCUCUUCCAUAAGAAUCCAUCUCGAAGUAAAAAUCCAUAUGCUUUUUUUCUUAUUUGUUUGAAUUUUUCUGUAGACCAAUUCCCUUGCUUAGUCAAGGUAUUCAAAUAAUGACCAAUAUCCAAUAAUUCUCCUUCAUAAGUUUCUUCAAGAAAUAGCUUUUUUUCUUUGUUGAGAUUUGAUAUUGAAUAGAAUUUCAAUCCGACAUCAUCAAUGUCUUCAACCAUUUCGUCCUCCCUCUCGUAUCUUGCUCGAGAUAGCAUGUCUGCUAUUAAAUUGUCCUUCCCAGUGAUAUGCUUAAAUUCUGGAUUUAGUGACUUAAUAUGAGCAAUCCAUCUCAACAUUGCAAUAUCUGGCGUUGAACAGUUAAUAAUCAUUCCAAGCAAUGGCAAGCAAUCUGUUUCAAUUACUACUACUGCCCCAAUCAAAUAGUCCUUUUCAGCUUUCAUAGCCGAAACGACUCCCCAAAGUUCUCUUUUGACUUGCAAAUAUGCACGCUGACGAAUACUUAAAACUUUAGCCCCAAAUCGAACUGCAAAUCUACUCCCAUUUGAAUCAUCUUGAUCCACAGCCCAUCCAAUGGCAAUUGGACUAGUGUCCACAGUAAGAAUCACUGGUCUAUUGCACUUAUAAUCAACCUUCCUCAAUAUUAGAGGUGACAUCAAUAAAUUCUUCAAUCUUUGCAUUGCCUGAAUAUGCCUUUCUUCCCAUUUAAAUCGGUAACCCUUGCGUAACAGUUCAUAUAAUGGAUCCGCUAUGUGAGCAAAAUGAGGGAUCCAGAUUCGAUAAAAUACACAUGCACCCAAAAACCUGUGAACCUCUGUUAAAGAAUCACAAUCCUCUUUCAUCCUUCCAAUUGCAUCAACUUUAGUCGGAUCUGGUUUUCUUCCAUAAGAUCCACAUAAAUGUCCAACAAUUACAACCUCUCGUACUCCAAAUACGGACUUCAUACCCGAUAAUAUAAGAUGAACUUCUCCAAGCGGAGUUAAAAUCUUUUCACAAUCUUGUAUAUGAUCAACAACAUAUGUGCGACACCCCCUCGUAUCUAAAGUUUCAUCCUUGUCUCCUUCUUUGCACCCUUUUAUAGGAACAUCAUCCAGAAAAGGCAUAGUCUUUUCCGGAAUAAAAUCUCUCAAUACCUUAUUCAUCCCAUUCAUCAUAUGCGCAACUGAGUUGGUCGCGCCUUGAGGAAGAGUGUACAUUCUAAUCAAUCCAAGCGGUGUCCUCAUCGUUGUCAUAUCUCUACUUCCUUCGGCAAGUUGAAAUUGAUCAUAACCUGAAUACAAAUCAUCCAUUGAAUAGAUCGCCCUUCCAGUAAACGCCUCAGCAAAUUCAUCCACAAUAGGUCCAAUUCCUGCAUUCCUAACAGUUACAGCAUUCACCGGUUGCAUAUCUUGAAUAAACCGUAGUAACCCAUUCUUCUUAGGUACCGUAAACCAUCGACUAGAAUACGGCGCAAAUGAAGGUUCCAAUAUUUUCAUCUUUAUCUUUUCUUUUAAUAGUUCCACCAAUUUAGGUAAAUGUGCCCUCGGUACUGGAAUCGAUCUUAGAUUCCAAGGUACAUGCGGUACAGUGAAGAUAACCAUAGGUGUUAUAAUAUUUGGAUCCACACACCCAAUUUCAUGAGAUUCGAAGGCAAACGAUCUACCUUGUUUAGCCAACAUCUUUUUGAAGCAAGUAAUUUCCUCCGGCAAUAAAGAACCAUCAGAACCAAUCUUCAAUUCUUCAAAAGUCUCUUCAGUAAACUGAUGUCCAAUACUCAUUGGAUCUCUUAAACUUGCUUCUUUUGAUACUUCUCCCAUUUGUUCUUUAGAAUCCUCUGGUAAUGGUCCGGCAACAGGCUUUACCUUCUUAUCUGCAGUUUUAUAUCUCGUCUCUACUGUGACUUCUGGUGCUUGAAAAGAUUCAAGCAUGGUAUAAACCUCUCUCGAAUGAAUCUCAACAAUCUUAUCAUUAUCCCCUAAUCCAAUAGAUGUAAUCAAUUCCAAUGAAUCUUCCAGUCCAUUUUCUUCAUAAACAUCCAAAAUCCUCUCAUCAUCUUGCAAUGUACCUAUCUUGCGUAAUUGUCCUUCAAUAUCAUAUAAUCUUUUUCUUUCUUUUCUUUUAAAAUCAUCAACUUUCUUAUACAUAAUAUUUCCAUUCUCCAAUAUACCAAUAAAACUCGAAUCAAAGGCACCUUCAUCUCGCGAGAGUACCUCCUCUUUUGUACCUCCAUAAUCUCGCUUUACAGUGGUACCUCCCCAAAAUCCUUAAAUCCUUCAACAAUCUUUGGCAAUGGUUUCUCCCUCAACCUAUCUCGAUUCCAUUCAUGGUUAGGAGGUACUGUUAGAAAUUGUACAGCUUUCCUCCCAUCUUCGCUCCGUACAUUUGCAUAAGCAGAACCAUCGUCAAGUACCUUUGUUUCCAUCCGUGUUGACGUGAUAUAAGGUUGUCCUAAAAUCAACGGAUAAGACGUUGUAUCUUGAACGAAGAAAUGUUGCUCCGUCGCAACAUCCCCAAUCCAAAUUUUGACAUCUGGACAAGCUCCAUAUAAUUCGCCCCGUGUGUUAUUAGCUGCUCAUAUUGCCCAUCCAUGUUCCAUAUCAAUUGGCCAUUUUUGCUUCUUAUAAAGAUCUUUAGACAUGAGAUUUAUUUCAGAACCAUGGUCGACCAAAGCAACUAUUGGUUCUUUUAUAUCUCCUACCUUCACCAAUACCUCAGUAGUUGCCCUUGCCCAAUGCUUUCGAAUAUAAUGGCUCAAAGUUUCCAUUUCCUUAUCACUAGAAUCUUCGAAACGUACUCGCUGAUUAUACCCAUUCUUUUCAUUUGUUGGUUGCUUGUAACCAAUAUCAACCUCUUCUUCAUCUCUACAUAUUCUUGCAUCAAUAGCAUGACUCAUUCCAGUUUCGCUCAUUAAUUGCCUCUUUCGCUUAAUGUUGUCAAUGAUAACAUCAUGAAACUCCUUCUUUGCAAUUCCCAAGACUUCUUUCAAUGUGAAUUCGACCUUAGCAUUUAAUAUACGUUCUUCCAACACCCCUUUCAAAUUUGUUGUCGCUUCAAUGUCAGAAAGUAGCUUAUAAGCAAUUGAUUUGCCCUUAUCUUUUGUCUCUGUUGUUUUUUCUCCCAAUGAUGCUGAGGUAUCCUUUACAGGCAAUUCUUGUGAAGCUGCCUCCCGAGCCUUGUCUCCUCGAGUUUGCCUCUUAAAAGAAUUUCCUUCUCUAGUAUCAUCAAAAUUUCCUCGUCUUUUUUCUUCCAUCAAAGCUUCAUGUUGGCUCUUAGCAAUAUAUGCAUGAACUGAAAGAGACUCAACAGGAUCCUCCCAACCUGUUCUUCCUCAUAUUGUAGCUGCAGUUCUCAAUAACGCUUCUCGAGGUAAUUUCCCUUCUUGCAUUGUAGAAACGGCAGAAGCCCAAAACUCACUAGUUUCCGUACUUCCACGAAUUUCAUCAUCUACUCUAGCACCAUAACUUGCACUUUCUCGUGCUACUGUUUCAUGCUCUUUUAAGUAAUCUUGAACCAAUGCUCUCAUUCCUCCCUUGCCAAAAUUAGUUUGAAGAAGAUCCUCUCUAUUUUUCAAUGCUAUCUUCCCAUCUUUCCAGCAAAUAAUUCCCUACUGUAUCAUAUUAUUAAAUUCAUUGCAAUCUUUUCUAGUGUGUGAAGCAUCAUCACACCAAAUGCAUCUUUGUACAUAUCCUUGUUUUGAAACAUUCUUCGAAUUGUUUAUAGAAGUAUUCUCUUCAAGUCUUGCCAAUUUGAUUUGAAGAUCUCGCAUUCCUCGUAUAAUUUCUUCCAUACCCAUAUCUGCUUUCUUUGACAAGGAUGUCGAAGGUUGAACUGUAGGCAUUGUUGGUGGUGUUGUACGUAUUGGAGCUUUGGGUGCUUGUACUAUUUUCGAAAUAUUGCUCCUAUCCUUCCUCCUUUCUUUUUUUGUAAGCAACUCCACCGCAUCUUCAACGUUCUUCCACUUCGUUGUCAAUCCUUCAUCUUCUUCUUUGUCUUCAAGAAGGGGUUCUAAUUUCUCUUGCAAUUCUCCAUCAGCAGCUUGAAGAAAUAGAUCAACUUUGUUCGACUCCAAUGUCAAUUUUUCUACCUUCGAUAAUUGAGAGUACUGCCUCUCAAAUUCCCUUAGUAGCUCUGUUGCUUGCAAAUUCUUAUUGGGCCGUUCAAUCCAUCCCAAAAACAGCUUCUUAGUAACGCAAUCAGCAUCUUCCAAGAAAUAUUCGUCUUUCAAUGCAUGUGAAAAAUCCUCCCAUGAAUUCCCAUAACGAUCCGUAAUUGAUGUAAUGUGGUCUCUUAUCUCUGAUAUCAUGGCAAGUCCAAAUAGUGCAACCAUUUUCUUCUCAGAAACCCGAUUUAAUUCCAUUUCACGAACAUAAUAUCUUAAAUACCUUGAAAUAUUCCUCCCAUCAAAUUGAUCAAUUUUAUUGACCACUACUUGCAAUGCUUUGAUUGCCAAAGCUUCCUUUCGAUCAUUGCUUUGCUGUUGCUGCAUUGACAAUGAGAAGGCUUGAAACAAACUAGCGAUAGACAGAUCCAUAUGCAUACCUUGUCUUUUAGAAGACUCCCCACCAGAGACUCCUCCCAAAAAUCCUUCAAAAUUUUUAUUUUCGUUUUCCAUAAAAAUAAAGAUAAAAUCAACCGAAAUCCAAUACCUUCCACCUCAAGCUUUCACGUCGGAUUCACCACUUUUUGUUGUAUUACGUGUUUUCUUGCUCAAGAACGCGCCGGGCGUCUGGCUGUAGAAGGUAGUAUGGAGAUUCACCGAUAGUUAAGCAGUCUAUCAGUUUUGACUACUGGAAUAUAAACGACUGCAACAAUGUACCGUAAAUCUAUACGGAUGCUCUUCGACUGCUUGUCGAAGUCCUUUUUGCCCCAGCCGGUAGGUCUCUAGACGUUACAGAGAACCCCGAACAAGCCAAACUGUUAAUCUUCAAUACCGCUUUGUAUUUACGAUCUUGUAUCCACUGACUGUCUUGUUAGAUUAACCCAAUAAAUUUCAUUCACUCUGCAUACUCAAUCCUAUAGACACCCUUUUAAUCCUUCAAUCACAGACGUGACUCGAUUUCACAAAACAGUCAAGAGUAUUCAAAUCCACUUCAUUAAAAAUUCCGAUUCACCAUUACAAUACUGACUUCAGCAACGAUUGCCUCAGUCUUCCCAAAACUCUACGAAGAAGAAAAACCCAAAUUUUAUGUCUUUCUUUCACCGACCCGAAGCAUGAAGCUCCCCUAUCUAAUCUCCUUGAUCUUCAAAAACCUCCAAUGAAAAACCAAACUAGUAACCUUGCAAAAGCUUGAAAACUAGCUCCCCUUGAUUUUCAAAAGAAAACCCCCCCCCCCAAAAAAAACUCUUUCUCAUAACCUUAUCCUCUGAAUUUCUUCAAUCUUCCGUCUUGGAUCCGGAAUUGGUUCUUGCCAUCAAGGCUUAGAUCCAAAAUUGGCUCUCGCCGUCAGAGCUUUUUCUCCCCCCGUUUUUACCUUUAAGAGAUCCUUUUACCGAAAACAACGUUCCCUGAAACGGCACAGAGAACAGGACAGCCCGAAACAGAAUCGAAACCCGUAAUCGGGACCACAUUGAGUCGCCCGACCAAUUCAGGUUCCAUAUUGGGUAAGAUGCCCGUAAUAACCUGGAUGUUCCCAUAAUUUGGUCUGCAUUGGGUUGCCCGGCCAAUUCAGGUCUCAUAUUGGGUAAGAGGACCCGGAUUGGAUUCUCGAAAUUGGAUCCAAUUGGCUCUUCGAACUCGUCGUGUGAAUUGGUCCUUCUCUUCCUGCUGACUCCCGUUAUUGGAAUUGAAUGGAGCAUUUCAAUAUGCCCCGAAUGACUGUAACGGGGUGACUGAACCUGGCCACUCAGUAUUUGUACAAGAGUUGGUCGAUGCUCCCAAUAUUCGAGGUAAUUGAAUAUUAAUAAAAUUUCCCUUUCUUUUUAUUUUCACUGUAUACUCGUAUUACAACACGACAAUAUGAGAUUGCUCAUUGUUAUCUUGAUACCAAUCCGAAGGCACAUUGGGAUAACUGAAAACGUCUUCUCCAACCGUAAUUUCCGAAGAACCAGUCUUAAAUUUCAAUGAUCCUCCCAAAUGCUCACUUUCCUGUAAAACCUCUACUCCUUCAACAUCCUCUAUUCCAAUCAAAUGGACAUCUACCUCAAUUAAAGGUGUCAAACCAUCGUCCAACUCCAUUCCAAUGAAAUUCAAUCCUGCCGUCAAUUCUGAUGAAGAAUCAAGGUUGUCCUGGAGCCACUUGGCAUACUCUCCAUUGUCUGACCAAUGGUGGAGAUUUGGACCAAGACACUUCAAGGUUUGAACCUCAGCUUCAAACGUCAUCCCAUCCACGGAUUUUAAUGGUGUGCCUUCUCCAAUAGAUAUGGUGUCAACCACCUCGAGUCCUAUCAAAGGCUUGAUUCUAACUUUAGUGGGGUUUUCAUAUGGACCGUAAACUAUGGAGGGCUUAUCACCACCCCACAUGAUGGCGACAUUGGCCAUCCUCAACCACGGACGAUCUAACAGAAGUGGAAAAGAUUCUUUGGAAGUGUGCAUCCUGAUAACAUGGAAGGUCACUAAAUAAUCCUCCUCCCCUGUAGAGAUUUUACAGUUCGUGAUCUGGCCUAAAGGCCUAGCAGGACUCUGAUCUGCCAUGUUUAAUACAAAUGGUGAAGGUCCGGUUAAAUUCAACCCCAACUUCUCCAUGGUAUGAAGUGGCAUGAUGUUAAGCCCACUACCUCCAUCAAUAAGCACAUUCGGAACCAUCUUGUCCACGAUAGUGACCUCGAUCUCCACUGCCUUCACAUCCAUUGGCCUAAUAGAUGCUUGUACCCUAGCCACUGUCCUCUUCUGAGUCUUCUUCUUCCUCUUCGCCCUAGGCAAUCCUUCUUUGAAACUCUUCCUCAUCAAAGGAGAUAUCUCCAAUAGUUGAGCAAUUGAGAUGUCAGCCUUUAUCCUCCGCAAGUCCCUCCAGAGAUCAUACUUCUAGUAAGAGGUUGGCGUCGUAUCACUCAACCCUCCAAACUCCUCCUCUGGAAUAUCUGGACCCUCCCAUUCACCCGGUUCUAACCCUUUACCUGGAUCAGAGCCUUCAGAUGACCUUUCAUCACCUACUGCGCCGCCUACCUCCCUUGUAAUUUUUACCACCUCCUUUGCAACCGCCUCAAGAGCUACUAAAUCCAACAACUCUUCAGACUCACUACUAUUUGAGUCUUCUUCAUCGAUUGGUGAUUGCCUAUGAGCUUGCCCUCGGGUAAUCACAGCCAAAGUAGCAUUCUCAUGGCCACCGCCUCCGUUUUUCUUCAAUUCAUGGGUCACUAAAUUAGAAGGUGCUUCAUGUUCUUCAAUCACCACUGUGGUCUUUGCUAGAGAUGGCACAGGACCCUUCAAUAAGACCUCUUCUGCUACUCUAACAUCUUGGUUAGAAGAUGGACCUUGUUUUUCGUUUGCAUAGUUUCGAUAGCCGCCUUGUUGAUUUUGGGCAACUGGGAUAUAACCUUGGGAGGUUUGUAACCCUUCCGAAGGUUGAUGGUUUUGUCUGAAAUCCUCAUAGUUGUAGUAGAGAUUAGGAGGUUUUAGUCCUCUGAUCAUCACCAUGAGGUCGUCUCUGAUCUCUCAUGUUAUUCCGCGCGUUCUCAUAAGGAUUUAUUAUUGGUGGUGGUAGUUGAAUUACCUUGUCAGGUUGUCUACAUUCAUGGGUAGGAUGAUUGCUACCACAAUUGCCACACGGCCGUAGUUGGCCAUCAUCCCAGCACUGACCCGGCUCAUGCCAUCUCCUGCAAAGCUCAUGGUACUCCUUCCGAGGCUUGCCACUUCUACCAUAUCCUUGAAGACCACCUUGAUAACCUCCUUGCCGCUGCUGAGGUCCUCUAUCUCUUCCAUAGCCCUGUGUUGGCUGGUAUGGUUGACGAUUUGGAUUACCUUGAGGCCUUACUCGGCACUGAAGAGAUGAAUGUCCAUUUUGGCCACAAGUAGUGCACCAAACCCCCGAGUUAUGGUUACCAGACUCUAUCCGAGGAGGUGGGUGUUUGAAUUUUGAUUCUUUACCAUGAAUGCCAUCUGCUCAGUCAAGGCUUGGAUCUGCUUCAUCAUGGAGUCUUGAAAACCUUCUUGUCCGGCCUGUAUUUUCUCCUCUAAGUCCUCCACUCUCUUCUCCAAUUGUGGCUCUGGUAAUGCCAAUAAGGGUACCAGAGCUCUGGUGGCCAUGGGCAUGACAUUGUAAUAUUAGGCACCAUUGUCGACUAUCGGAGGUGUACUUGACAUGCUUGGUCCUACCGCUUGGCUUACAGGAUUAAUUGGAAUAAACCCCGGGAUAGACUCAUCUUCCUUCCUCUAAUACCUUUCAUAACUUCUCUCGAUUAAAUCUACAACACGCGCCGCUGUUUUGGCUUCCUCUAAAGUGGCUGGGUUUCUCUCUAAUACUCCCUUGAUUGUAGAUCGAUUAGCAAAUCCUUCAAUGAAGAAUUGCUUUAUCCUAUCGCCAUUCAACAAUCCUCCUACAUAACGCAUGCAGACCAAGUCAAACCUCCUGAUGUAGUUAGCCAUUUCCUCGUCUCUUUGUUGUCGUACCGCUCCUAGUGCUCUCAAGGCUGUACUUUGUCCAACCUCCCGCCUAAAGUGGUUUAAGAAGGCUACUUGCAAUUGGGACCACGUAGUAAAAUGUCCCUCAUCAUGGUCCCGGUACCAAUUGUAAGCCUCACCGUGUAAGGUUCCGGGGAACCAAACCAGAUAAUAUCCCUCGUUCCCAAUGACGGAUGUUGUCAAAAUCUCUAUGUACCUCUCCAUGUGUAGGGUUGGAUCCUCGUCCUUGGUGCCAUAGAACUUGGGAAGAUUCCCUAGAACUAUGGCCGCUAAUAGCCCUGCUGGCAUAGCCAUGGGCAAACCUCGUGGCCUAACUAAGGGAUCCAAAGCUGGAAGCCGCUCCGUCGCCAUCUCGUGAACAAAUCCUUCGACUGCAGGCACAAAGUCCAAGGUCCUAUCUUGUUCUCCUAUUUUUCUAAGGUUCACGUCUCCAAACACUCCGUCUUCAGGGUCUACGUGUUCUAUCACUGCCGAGGCAUUACCCACUAACAAGGCAAUGACAACGACGAAUUACAAUCCUAAGUUAACAUAGAUCAUUCAAUGUAUGAUGGCUUACCUCAUGCAAUUCCAGCUUCCUGCACAAUUAGUAUACCACCGGCCUCUCGAUCACAUGCUAAGGUUUCUAGCACAAACUACCAUAGAUAUCCCCAAGAUCCACAUACCUUCUGCUGUGCUCCUUCCAAUCACGACCCCAUCAUCUUGCUCCUAUUAUCUCCUUCCUCCAUGUAAUCAAUCAUCGCAACUCAAAAAAAAAAAAAAAAAAAAACAAAAAAAAAAAAAUUGUUAGACAACGUCUCUAAGAUCGACUCCGGACAAACGCACCAUUUAUGUGAGCUAAAUUCCUCCACCCUUAAUUGCGUUUAGUAGUCAAGUGGAUUAACUUCACUCACACGCAAUUUUUAUAAAUCCUAAGUUCAUUCAUAAACCCUAAAUUCAUCCAUAAAUCCUAAGUUCAUCCAAAAACCCUAAGUUCAUCCAGAAACCCUAAGUUCAUCCAGAAACCCUAAGUUCAUCUAAAAACCCUAAGUUCAUCCAAAAACCCUAAGUUCAUUCAUCCUAAAUUCCCCUUCAUCAAUCAUCCAUCCCUUAAAUCUCAUUCAUCCUAUAACAUUCAUUCAUUCAAAGUUUAUUCAUCUAAUUUUCAUCUAAAGAUUCAUUCAUCCAACCAUAAGUCAACUUAUCAUCUAACUGACAAUUCGUGCAAUUGACCUAAUUCAUCCAAGUUUCAUCCUAAAAACUAAAGAAAAUUGGAAGUCGCCACCUUCCAAGUCAUGGUAGCGACCCCCUUGCACGAAUUCCACUACAAUGGUUGCAUCACUAACUUGUUUAUAACAAGCUUUGCUAUUUUAGAAAGUAGACUUACAAGCGCUUGUCCUCCAACAAAAUUCAAUGCAAAACAACAAUUAAGCUAAGAGAAAUCUUGCCUCAAAGUUGCCUGACUUUCUCGGCCUAGUCAGAGCACCCCUGGCCACAAAAAUCCUUGCCCUUGCUCCAUUCCAGUUGUGCAAUGCAUAUGCUUUAGCAUUCCAGAAACUAGAAUUGAAGCCGCAUCACCUCCAACAAUUUUUUCUUGAAAAUCUUGAGUGAAUUCCAAGAUAUGACCUUCCAAAGUAGCUUGAGUUGGCGGAGUGCUACAUCUUCACCACGGCCGACUCCUCUUCACUCCAACCACCAUAACUUCCUUGGCCUUUACUCAAUCUAAGCGUGCAAAUAAUCCUUGCAAAGCUGACAACAAGAACCAUCUCCCACAAAAGUUUCAGCUCCAAAUUCAAUACUGUCCGCCAACACUCGCCUUCCAAAGUCGGACCUCCAGAUCUGGCCGGCAGCUGACCUCCUUGUCACUAAAACCACCACAACUUUCUUGUUUUCUCUCCAAACAAAGCGUGCCUACUGUCCCGAGGAAGCUAACGACAAGAUCUAACUAUUGGUAAAGUUUGACGUUCUAUUUCCAGAUAACUAAUACACUACAGCUGCGCAAUUGCAGCUCUAUAGAAACAAGGGUACGUGGGGAUGCAAUUUGGCAUGGCUUCGCCCCCCCAAAAAAAAAAAA
rnacentral:lncRNA from 1 species